rnacentral:rRNA from 1 species
CACAAGGGGUGAAGCCUGCGGUUCAAUUGGAGUCAACGCCGGGAAUCUUACCGGGGGCGACAGCAGAGUGAAGGUCAAGCUGAAGACUUUACUAGACAAGCUGAGAGGAGGUGCAUAGCCGUCGCCAGCUCGUGCCGUGAGGUGUCCUG